UAACAUAGAAUUGUUGCGGUCACUCC
rnacentral:piRNA from 1 species